rnacentral:rRNA from 1 species
UGGGGAAUUUUGGACAAUGGGGGAAACCCUGAUCCAGCCAUCCCGCGUGUGCGAUGAAGGCCUUCAGGUUGUAAAGCACUUUUGGCAGGAAAGAAACGUCGCGGGUUAAUACCCCGCGAAACUGACGGUACCUGCAGAAUAAGCACCGGCUAACUACGUGCCAGCAGCCGCGGUAAUACGUAGGGUGCAAGCGUUAAUCGGAAUUACUGGGCGUAAAGCGUGCGCAGGCGGUUCGGAAAGAAAGAUGUGAAAUCCCAGAGCUUAACUUUGGAACUGCAUUUUUAACUACCGGGCUAGAGUGUGUCAGAGGGAGGUGGAAUUCCGCGUGUAGCAGUGAAAUGCGUAGAUAUGCGGAGGAACACCGAUGGCGAAGGCAGCCUCCUGGGAUAACACUGACGCCAUCAUGCAGAAGGAAGCGUGGGGGGAAGCAAACAGGAUUAGAUACCCUGGUAGUCCACGCCCUAAACGAUGUCAACUAGCUGUUGGGGCCUUCGGGCCUUGGUAGCGCAGCUAACGCGUGAAGUUGACCGCCUGGGGAGUACGGUCGCAAGAUU